rnacentral:lncRNA from 1 species
AUGGCGAAGUCUGCAGGCUUCCCAGAGUUAAAGGUGCAGUUUCUCUGCUGGGCUUUCAGUGAAAGGGAGAACCUGGCAGGAAUUCCCCCUUUCUCCUCUGACUGGCCUGACUGGGCCUUUCAGCUCCUUAAGCACAAUGGUUCAGACUCUUUCCUACUAGCCAUGACCCCCAGCAGCCCUGCUGGGACCCUGGGGGCUGCACCUGCAGAAUAUGAAACUGACUGCAGCUGGAGAUCCCCAGACUACAAAGUGAGGAAUGCCUGACCACCCUGAGGAGUGCUUGGUGCCAGAAGCCUGGAUGGACAUAUCAGUCUUCCUUUCCUGACUCCUUUACUUCAAGCUAUUUCCCACACACUUCAUGGUGGGGAAUUGCCCCUCGAAUUGCAG